rnacentral:rRNA from 1 species
UACAGAGGUGGCAAGCGUUGUUCGGAAUUACUGGGCGUAAAGGGCGCGUAGGCGGCCUACUAAGUCAGACGUGAAAUCCCCCGGCUUAACCUGGGAACUGCGUCUGAUACUGGAAGGCUUGAGGAUGGGAGAGGGAUGUAGAAUUCCAGGUGUAGCGGUGAAAUGCGUAGAUAUCUGGAGGAAUACCGGUGGCGAAGGCGGCAUCCUGGACCAUUACUGACGCUGAGAAGCGAAAGCAUGGGGAGCGAACAGG